rnacentral:siRNA from 1 species
CUACAAAUUAUAUUACGCCGGUGA